rnacentral:rRNA from 1 species
GGCGGAACACGAGAAAUUCCGUCGGAAUCCGGGAGGACCAUCUCCCAAGGCUAAAUACUCUCUAGUGACCGAUAGUGAACCAGUACCGUGAGGGAAAGGUGAAAAGUACCCCGGAAGGGGAGUGAAAUAGAACUUGAAACCGUGUGCUUACAAGUAGUCAGAGCCCGUUAAUGGGUGAUGGCGUGCCUUUUGUAGAAUGAACCGGCGAGUUACGAUUUGAUGCAAGGUUAAGCAGUUAAUGUGGAGCCGUAGCGAAAGCGAGUCUGAAUAGGGCGUUGAGUAUUUGGUCGUAGACCCGAAACCAGGUGAUCUACCCAUGACCAGGCUGAAGUUCAGGUAACACUGAAUGGAGGGCCGAACCGACUUACGUUGAAAAGUGAGCGGAUGAGUUGUGGGUAGCGGAGAAAUUCCAAUCGAACCUGGAGAUAGCUGGUUCUCUCCGAAAUAGCUUUAGGGCUAGCCUUAAGUAAUGAUUAUUGGAGGUAGAGCACUGUUUGGACGAGGGGCCCUUAUCGGGUUACCGAAUUCAGACAAACUCCGAAUGCCAAUCAAUUUUAUCUUAGGAGUUAGAACGCGGGUGAUAAGGUCCGUGUUCGAAAGGGAAACAGCCCAGACCACCAGCUAAGGUCCCAAAAUAUAUGUUAAGUGGAAAAGGAUGUGGCGUUGCCCAGACAACUAGUAUGUUGGCUUAGAAGCAGCCAUCAUUUAAAGAGUGCGUAAUAGCUCACUAGUCGAGUGACACUGCGCCGAAAAUGUACCGGGGCUAAACAUAUUACCGAAGCUGUGGAUUGUCCGUAAGGACAGUGGUAGGAGAGCGUUCUAAGGGCGUUGAAGCAUGAUCGCAAGGACAUGUGGAGCGCUUAGAAGUGAGAAUGCCGGUGUGAGUAGCGAAAGACGGGUGAGAAUCCCGUCCACCGAUUGACUAAGGUUUCCAGAGGAAGGCUCGUCCGCUCUGGGUUAGUCGGGUCCUAAGCUGAGGCCGAUAGGCGUAGGCGAUGGAUAACAGGUUGAUAUUCCUGUACCACCAAAUUUCGUUUUAAGCGAUGGGGGGACGCAGUAGGAUAGGCGAAGCGUACUAUUGGAUUGUACGUCCAAGCAAUGAGACUGAGUGUUAGGCAAAUCCGGCACUCUUAAGGUCAAGUUGUGAUGGGGAGAGGAAAUUGUUUCCUCGAGUCGUUGAUUUCACACUGCCAAGAAAAGCCUCUAGCUAGAAUUUUGGUGCCCGUACCGCAAACCGACACAGGUAGUCAAGAUGAGAAUUCUAAGGUGAGCGAGCGAACUCUCGUUAAGGAACUCGGCAAAAUGACCCCGUAACUUCGGGAGAAGGGGUGCUCUUUAGGGUUAACGCCCAGGAGAGCCGCAGUGAAUAGGCCCAAGCGACUGUUUAUCAAAAACACAGGUCUCUGCUAAACCGUAAGGUGAUGUAUAGGGGCUGACGCCUGCCCGGUGCUGGAAGGUUAAGAGGAGUGGUUAGCUUCGGCGAAGCUACGAAUCGAAGCCCCAGUAAACGGCGGCCGUAACUAUAACGGUCCUAAGGUAGCGAAAUUCCUUGUCGGGUAAGUUCCGACCCGCACGAAAGGCGUAACGAUUUGGGCACUGUCUCAACGAGAGACUCGGUGAAAUCAUAGUACCUGUGAAGAUGCAGGUUACCCGCGACAGGACGGAAAGACCCCGUGGAGCUUUACUGUAGUCUGAUAUUGAAAUUCGGUACAACUUGUACAGGAUAGGUAGGAGCCUUUGAAACGUGAGCGCCAGCUUACGUCGAGGCGUUGGUGGGAUACUACCCUUGCUGUGUUGGAUUUCUAACCCGCACCAUUUAUCAUGGUGGGAGACAGUGUCAGAUGGACAGUUUGACUGGGGCGGUCGCCUCCUAAAGAGUAACGGAGGCGCUCAAAGGUUUCCUCAGAAUGGUUGGAAAUCAUUCAUAGAGUGUAAAGGCAUAAGGAAGCUUGACUGCGAGACUUACAAGUCGAGCAGGGUCGAAAGACGGACUUAGUGAUCCGGUGGUUCCGCAUGGAAGGGCCAUCGCUCAACGGAUAAAAGCUACCCCGGGGAUAACAGGCUUAUC